UUUCACAGAAGCUCUUUGUCACUGAAACUGCAGAACAGUGUCAGCAAGCCUGUGCACUUCCCUCAGACAUUGUCUCAAAAUAUGCACAUACCAAUGCAUUCAUGCCUGAAAGAAUCUAAUGGAAAGAGUGACCUUCACUUUUCUUUUGCAACAGUCCAGAGGACUGUCCCUCAAGGAGCAGAGGUAACAGCAGGCACAGCACCCUCCACCCAGAUGCCUGAGACACCAAUGAUCUAA
rnacentral:lncRNA from 1 species